rnacentral:rRNA from 1 species
UACGAAGGGGGGCUAGCGUUGCUCGGAAUCACUGGGCGUAAAGGGUGCGUAGGCGGGUUUUUAAGUCAGGGGUGAAAUCCUGGAGCUCAACUCCAGAACUGCCUUUGAUACUGAAGAUCUUGAGUUCGGGAGAGGUGAGUGGAGCUGCGAGUGUAGAGGUGAAAUUCGUAGAUAUUCGCAAGAACACCAGUGGCGAAGGCGGCUCACUGGCCCGAUACUGACGCUGAGGCACGAAAGCGUGGGGAGCAAACAGG